ACGCUCGACACCUACGGGAGCAGCAGUGGGGAAUAUUGCACAAUGGAGGAAACUCUGAUGCAGCGAUGCCGCGUGAGGGAAGAAGGUUUUCGGAUUGUAAACCUCUGUCUUUGGGGACGAUAAUGACGGUACCCAAGGAGGAAGCUCCGGCUAACUACGUGCCAGUAGCCGCGGUAAUCUGAGCGGGCGUGGCAAGGC
rnacentral:rRNA from 1 species